CUACCCUGGGCUUUUCAAAAGAGAUUUUCCUCCCAAAUAUGAUUCAUUGUGCUCUGAUCUCUCACUGUAUUUUUAUCAAAUGCUCCAUGCCAGCUCUUAAAAGGGCACUGUCAACUCUGCUGGUGACGGCUAAUUUCUUUGACUCUAUUGUCAGAUGAAUCCCUUAUCAACUUGCAACCAAAAAUUCCACCUUCCAGGAGUGCUGGGAGAUGCCCAAAGGAGGCACUGGGAGUCUAGACAGACGUGUAUCCAGGAACUACAAUAUGCCAGCCCCCUGCUAGGCACCAUGGGUGCUGACCAUGAAAAGAGAGUGCUGACAUCACAGAGGUUACAUUCCAGAAGGCGAGAGAGACGAGGAACAAACAACUAGAUGAAUAAAAUAAUUUUGCACAUUGAUAAGUGCUAUGAAGAAAAUAGAAUUGGGUAAUAUAACAUCUCCCCAAGGAACCGUGAUUGGGGCAGAGUUCUGAGGGAAGAAGUGUGAGCCCAAUAAGGCUCUACAGGAAGAGCAUUCCAGUUGUGCGAACAACAGC
rnacentral:lncRNA from 1 species